rnacentral:lncRNA from 1 species
AAACCUACAAAAGUGAAAACGAGUCACUAUCUAGGCUGGUGGCAAACCAAGUUAUCGAUAGCCCUCGAGAAGAUAAAUAUAGAAAACUUAAUACAAUUGUUACAUAGCUCAAUAUUUGGAUGUGUAGAGAUAUAUUUUCGAGAGUACUUAGAGCCUAGGCAUCCCUAUAAGUGUAGUGCAACAAAUCGUGUCCAGUAGUCAAUAGAGUUAGUCCUCGCAAAACAAAAAAAUUGAGAAACAAUCACGCAUGUAGGUUCGCUAUUCUUCCUCUACAAAUACAAAAAACGCUACCUUUAUUGUAGAAGUUGAAUACUUUUAAUUGCGUUACUUGUUAAUUUGGUGCAAGAAAUAUGUCUUUAUUCACCCAUAGGUUUUGUGCCGGUAUGAUGAGAUUGAUUAUGGAAUUUUCUUGGAUGGACCACGUGAAUGUGAUACCUUGGCCUAAGUAAAAGCCCCCUCUUAUAUAAAGACCCACGUAUAAAAGUAAGGUUUAAAAAUUAUGCAUUUAAUUCUUCAUACAUGUCUUCUCGUGGGCCAUAAUUAACUUGACCUAGAAGUUCCACGGGCUCAUCACCGGUUAGGGCACUAACGGAAUCUUCUUUCGUAGGUCUCAAACUCAUAGUAGAUCUAGUCAUCUUAUUUGUGGAGCUUUUAUAAGUCGGUACGAUUUAGUUAUUGUCAUGUGUGAUAUUUUAUGUAAGAUUCCGAAAAUUUAAAAAUAUUUAAUUAAGCAAAUUAGAUAUAAAAUGGACAUGAUGAAUAUGAAUUAUAUAAAAUACAUGUUAUUUAUGUGAAUUUAAAGUAUUAAGUAUAAUUUUUCGAGAAUUUUUACAAAAAUAUGAUUUUUUAUCUGAAAAGAUUUUUUGUUAAAGCGUAACAAAAAAAAAAAAAACAUGUCAAGCAUGCAAGACUAAACCAUGUAGACCAAUAAGGAUCACAUGUUGGUGUGACUCACUACCAUAAGUCAUCAUAAGCCAUUAAUGACUUGGGUGACUUGCCCCAUAAAUCACUAGGUGAUUCACCUACCCAUGCCACAAAGUCAACAAAACCCAUAUUGGGUUGUCUUGUCCCAGCUAGGAUUCUUAUGCAUAGAGAGAGGGAGGGAUAGAAAGACGUAGAGAGAAAUUGGGAGGAGAGAAAGAACAACGAAGAACUAAAUACGAUUUAUUCACUAAGGUAAACAUCACUCGUCUCCCUUAUCUCUUUUACGUACUUUCUUUUACGUACUUUCGAUUUAAGAAGGGUCUAAAUGCUCUAUGAUUUAAUGUUAUACUCUAUUCUAGCUAAAGUUUUGAAAUACCAUAAAAAUUCGGCACGACAAUGCCGUCUUUAGGAUCAUAUGUCAAGCCACUGUUUUAGGCAAAACUUCUUCAUAUGAAAACUUUUAAUUUGAUUCAAAUUGCGUAGAAUAGCUACUCAAAUACCUACAACUUUACUUCAAAUAGUAUUUUUUCAAUUUUGAGGUUAGGAUGGCCCAAAACAGUCGUGAAAGUCAAGCCAAAAAAAUCUGACACUCUGAUUUUUCGAGUUAGACCGGUUGAAUAUUUCCUGAUCGGUUGAGCUUAUAAAUUUUAGGCUUUUGAUCAUGUUGGACCGGUCGGACAUUUUUCCCGACCGGUUGAGCAUAUAUGUUUAGGCUUCGAUCAUGUUGGAUCAGUCAAAUUUUUUUUUCGACCGGUCGAACCAUUCUUAACCUGUUGAACUUUUUCUCAACCGGUAGAAUGUUAUCCAAUUAGACCAUUGUUUACUCCCGAUCGGUUGAAUAUUUUUCUCGAUUGGUUGAACAUUUCCUCAACCUGUCGAACAUUUACCAUGACCCGUUGAAACUUUGCAGAUCCCAACUUUUGACCAACUGAACCUACACUGUUGACACAGUCUUCUGUCAUCAGACUUAUUUCCAUUGAAAAUAUUUAAGUAAAAGUAAUAAAUCUUACAUUUCCUUUUACUUUAAGUUUACAAUUUAAAUAAGAAAAUAUCCUCUAUUUGGAUUCAAUAAAAAAUUAUAAUUACCAUUAAAUCAAAAAGUAAAAUUUCAGUUUUAGUACAAAAAUAAUUUUUUGGCAAUUAUUUUAAAAAUAAUUCUUCUUGCUAUUGAAGGUAUACAUUGUAAUAAAAAUUUCAUAAAAUUAGUUUUGACUAUUAAAUAUAUAAAGAACAAUUAUUAAAAAAAAUAAUUUGGAAAAAUAAUAUUUCAAAAAUUUAUUUUUCUACACUUAGCCAAAAUUUGACGAAAAACAGUUUUUCAAAAAAACUUGUCAUGUAAACCUCUUUUGAGAGUCUUGUUUCGCCAUGUACUUAUCCAACCAUAGUAUUUAAUACUAUUCAUUGAAAUGAAUGAAAUGUAUAGGAAUCAAUUCGGCUUUUUUAAGGAACUCUACGGACGAGUGUAGUGCAAUAUCUACGCGAAUAGGUAAGUAACUUUAAUUUUUAAAUUAGAGUAAAUUAUUCUUUUAUGCUAUGAUAUACUCAUGAAUUAUAUUAUGUUAUGCAUAUCAAAUAUAUAGAUUAGAUAAGAAUCUUUCGAAAAUUUUUUAUAUGUAUAUGCCUAUAUGCCAUAUGUUUUUCCUUUUCGAGAAGGUACUCGGCUGGCAUACCCCGACUUAAGGGGUGUAAAAGUAUGUUAGCAAACUCGACUAAGGACGGAAGGUCAUAGUGCAUAAUGUGUGUUUCAAUAUUUAUGUUGACUCAGAUAUAGUUAAACUACAUGUACAAGUAUGAAUUUUGAACAAAUUAUUUAGAAAGAUCAAAUAUUUUAUCUUUCGCUACACUAUGUAUGUUAUACACAUCUACCAUGGUAUUCUCAUUUCUUUGAUAUGUAUAUCAAACAUAUGUUAGAGAUUAUGGUUAUACGUUAAGCAAAUGUGCUUAGAAAAAUUGUUUCUGACAAUGUUUCAGGAGACAAAGGCAAGCAAGUGGGGUAGAUUGAUAGAAUCAUACAUGUUCCAAAAUUUAUUUUGAACAACGUAAACUUUACGAGAUACUUUGUCAGGUUAUGCAAGAACAACUUGAAUUCAUGUAGUAUAGCUUGGAUUAGAAUGUUCGGGGUCUUUUGGAUGUGUAAAUGUAUGUAUAUAUGUAAUGAUAGGACAAAUACAAUCUCUCUACUGUUACGGGCACGUGUUUUUGGAAUAAAUAAUUUUUAAAUAUUUAUUUUCUUUUUGGCUCCAAAUAUAUACAUCUUUUGCUUUCCCAAAUGAAAAGAAAAAAAAGAAUUUUGAAAUUCGGUGUGACAUCGCCUCAUGGAGCCACGUGGGAUCGGGGGUCAUCACACUUUAACUAUUUCAAAUUAUACUUAUUUGAAUUUUUGUAGAAUGUGCAUUGACUGUUUUGCAAUUAUUUGAUUUUGCGAGGACGAACUUUAUUCACUAUCGGACUCGAUUGGAUGGACUAUACUAAUAGGGAUGCAUAUGCAAAGGUAAUCUCGAAUACAUAUCUACACACCUCCAAAUAUUGAGCUAGAUAACAAUUGUAUUAAGUUUUGUUUAUUUAUCUUAUCGAGGGCUAUCGUUAACUCAGUCGACCACUGGCUGAGAUAGUGACUUGUCCUCACUUUUGUUGGUUUAGGAGUUACGAGGGAGAUGGAGUCAUGUUUCCGUUUGGCCUUGAUUAUCACGUAAGCAAGCACGAUUUACUUCCCAUUCAAAUACAAAUGCUAUCUUUGUUGUAGAAGUUGACUACUUUCAACUACGUAACUUGUAAUUUGGUAUGAGAAAUAUGUCUUUAUUCAUCCAUUGGUUUUGUGCAGGUACGAUUAGAUUGACCAUGAAAUUUCCUUGGAUGGACCACAUGAAUGCGAUGGCUUGGGGCAAGUAUAGGCCCCCUGAAGUCCAAAUCUCAAAGUAAGGUCUAAAAAUCGUGCAUUCAAUUCUAUACAUGUCUUCUCGUUAGCCGUCACUAACUUGAGUUAGAAGUUCCUUGGGUUCUUCACUGGGUGGGGCUCUCACGAUGGAUCUAGUCAACUUCUUCGUCGAGCUUCUAUAAGUCGGUACGAUUUAGUCAUUUUCAUGUGUGAUACUUUGACUAUUUCAUAUUAUACUUAUUUGCCGAACUACUCGCGAAUACAUAUAUCUCCACACCUCUAAAUAUUGAGAUAUGUAACAAUUAUAUUAAUUUUUUUAUAUUUAUCUUCUUGAGGGCUAUUGGUAACUCGGAAGGCCACCGAUCGAGAUAGUGAUCUUCACUUUUGUAGGUUUAGGAGUCACAGGAGAAAUGGAGUCAUGUUUUUGUUCGGCCUUGAUCAUAACGCAAGUAAGUACGAUUUUCUUCCUCUCCAAAUACAAAUGCUACCUCUGUUUUGAUAAUUGAUUACCAUUAACUACGUUACUUGGUAAUUUAGUAAGAGGAAUAUGUCUUUAUUCACUAUAGGUUUUGUGUAGAUACGAUUAGAUUGACCAAAAAGUUUUAUUGCAUUGGACAACGUGAAUGCAAUGCCUUGGUCUAAAGUAAAGGCCUCCUCUUAUAUAAAGAUUCACAUCUCAAAGUAAGGUCUACAAAUCGUGCAUUCAAUUCUCCAUAUAUGUCUUCUCGUGGUCAGUAACUAACUUGAGCUCGAAGUUCUCCGAAUUCCUCAAUGGGUGGGGCACUAACUGGGUCUUCAUUUGUAGGUCUCCGACUCAUGGUGGAUCUAGUUAUCUUUUUCGCGAAGCUUUUAUAAAUUGAUACGAUUUAGUUAUUGCCAUGUGUGAUACUUUGACUAUUUUAAAUUUUGCUUAUUUGAAUUUUUGUAGAAUGAGUAUUGAUUAUUUCACAAUUGUUUAGUUUUUGAGAGAACUAACUCUAUUAUCCAUUGGACUCGAUUGGAUGGACCAUGCUAAUAGGGAUGUCUAGGGCCAAGUACUCUCGAAUACAUAUAUCCAUACAUCCAAAUAUUGAGGUACUAAAAAAUGCAUUAAAAUUUUUAUAUUUAUCUUCUCGAGGGUUAUUGGUAACUUGGUCGGCUACUGACCGAGAUAGUGAUAGGUGCUCACUUUUGUAAGUUUAGGACUCAUGGGGGAGAUGUAAUCAUGUUUCCGUUCGGCGUUGAUCAUUACGUAAGUAGGUAUGAUUCUUCCCCUACAAAUAAAAAUGCUACCUUUGUUAUAAAAGUUGACUUCUUUUAACUACGUUAAUUGCUAAUAUGAUAUGAGAAAUAUGCCUUUAUUCAACCCUUGAUUGUAAAGGUACAAUUAGAUUGAUCAUGAAAUUUCAUUUGAUAGAUCACGUGAAUGGGAUGCCUAGGCCUAAGUAAAGGUCUCCUCCUAUAUAAAGAUCCACGCCUCAAAGUAAAGUUUAAUUGGGAGCGAACUAUUGAUCUCAUGAAAAUAGAUAAGGGCCAAUCACACGGGGAGAUUAGUGGCAAUGUAGGUCAAAACAUAAGCACGAUCGAUGUCCACAUCUGAAUUAUGUGAAAUGGGACUAAUGUUAAUGCACAACACAAUAUUCAGAAUGCGACAUCAUACGGAGAGUAUGCUCUGAAUGAUUUUAGUCCUAGACCAAGAAGUAACAUCACAAGUCAAAACCUAUGACAUAUGAUUCUUAUUAAGAAUCAUAUUUGUAGUUGAUUCAUCAGUCAGAAAAGAAAAACAAAACUCCUUCAAUGGCAGAACUCCAGAUGCCCAACCUAUGAUCUCAGGGAUGAGAACUAUGUUAUGACCCCUCACAUAAGACGCUCCAUUUACCCUAGCAUUAGACUGACCAAUCCUAGACAAAAACUCCUGAACUAAGGUUAAGUUGGCUCGACCCUGAUAAUUAAAGAAAUAAGACCAAUGACGAUCCUGUAACCAAGAGCUUAAGGGCAAGUGCGAAAAAUCAUUAAUAAACACAGGACGCUCACACACAAGACUGAUUAGAGAAACGAGUGUGAAACAUGUUCUCAGCCUCACGAGAAGCAAAUGUAGUGGGAUCACGUAAAGGCUGAGAGGGCCUAGAUGUGGAAGCACGCUUUCCCCUAGCCGUGGUUUUAGACUUGGGUGCCAUGGAUCUGAAAACACAUAAUCACUUAGAUCAACCCUCAUGAACCUACUAAACAAUGUACCAUGACAAUGCAUAAAUCCUAAAAAUUAACACAAAUCAUAGACUAGAUGUGAGAACAAUGUGAAAACAUGAAAAAAAUUAAGCCUAGAAUACUCAAACAUUAAAUAUAUUCAAGAAGACAUGAUGAAAAAUUGCAUAAAACAUACAAAGUUUUGGUUAAUAAUUAAGAACCCCAAAGUUAAACUAAAUCCUAGGUUCAAAUAUGAAGCAAUAACCACUAAUUAGAUGAAAUAAACAACCUAGAGUCACAAAUUACACACAAAAUAGGAAUAAUCAAGCAAAAUAAUGAAAACCCACAUUUACCGAAGUCUGGAGAGUUAAAAGCUUGAAAUCAACAAAACAAACUUGAAAAUCAUACCUUGUGAUGACGAGAAUCAAGAUUGGAGGAUGAUUUGAGAUCAAAGUUAGUAACCAAGUGGGAUUAAGGAGAAGAUAUCGAGAGUUCAGGGGAGAGAAGUAAAAGUUAGGACGGAAAUAAAGUUAGGACGGAAAGGGGCCAAAAAAAGCUAACUAGAAAUGUGAUUGCCCCUGUUUUAUGAAACUUAGGCGCUCACCAUGGGGCUCUUGGGUUGCACGAUCGAAAAAGAAGAAUAAAAGGCACUCACUAUUAGCUCUAUGGGUGCGCGCACGAUUUUUUUUUACAACUAAAAAAAUAAAACACAAAGAAAAUCAACCGAAGUUAGCAAAAUAAACUAACGUGGACGGAAUCGAAAAUGACACUUAUUGUAAGGAAUCAUAAGGAAAUAAGAUCACAUCUUUCAUAAACCAAUUUGAACAACCUAAAGUAAGCUUAUAGUAAUAACAAUGCUCUCAAGACUUUAAAUAACUAAAUCAACAAUGAGCACAAUGAACUUCAAGUAGUGUGUGUUUGGGAGACAACACAUAUAGCAUUGAGUAGGCAAGAAUCAUGGAGAAAAAAGAAUCACGCCCUUUUUCUAAUGCAUCCACAUGCAAUGAGAAUUCAAACAAAACAACUGUCCAUUUGUCAAGAGAGAAGAUAGAAGAAUCUCUCCCUCAAUGAAAAAACCACCUUAUAUCAAGAAUUGAACUCUUUAUGCGCUUUCAUAGGUGGCUUUCACAUAACUGAGCAUGAUAGCCUUCUUCACGCCUUAAUGCCCUUUGUUCAAGGUGGAAAUUUAAAUUUCCGGGCGUGGUAUCUUUCACUCUUUACCCAAAGGUACCCUUUUCCUCUGGCUAUAUUUAUUUUCUUCGCACACAAUGGAGGGGAGGAAAUAAAAAAAAAAAAUAAAGUAGAGAAUGAGAAAAUGACAAGUUACUAUAAUUGGUCAAUCUCAAAGCACAUUGUAGUAGGAGAAUAUAAGGGCAACAAAUAUCUUGACAAUUCAUGAAUAUAACAAUAACUAUUGAUCUAUCGCUAGUACAUAAAGUGCUUGAACGAAAAAAGCAAUCACCGAGAUUAUGAAAUCAAAGUAUCAAGAUUAUCGAAAUCACCAAAGUUUCACAUUAAACUGAUCAAAGCAAUGCAUGAAUGAGUGAACACAACAUAUAAUCAAGCACAUGAACUUUCUAAGUGAGCGUCCAAGAAUAUCAUCCAAUUUUUUUUGUUUGCAUUAAAGAAAAAUUAAGACAAAGUUAGGUAAGGGCGCACACACCUACUGAAUUUCGAAGGUAAUCAAAGCUGAAGUAAUCAAGAGAUUUUAUAAAAAGAUCUUCCUUUUAAUUUUCUGUAGGAACAUAAUCGAGUGAAAUAAUUUGAUCCACGAAUAAAGUGAUGACGAAUGUCAAUGUGUUUAGUGCAUGAGUGUUGGACAAGGUUCUUGGAAUUAUUGAUCGCACUCGUGUUGUAGAUUACUUGAAGGGUCUUCUUCGCAUGAAUUUCGUGCAAGAUUACUUGAAGGGCUUGAACUUUACUAAUUAUAAUUUUAACAUCCACCAUUAGGUUAUUGUAAGGGGGAUAAAAUUCCAAGUACAAUCUUUGACCGAGUUAGGGCAGACACUGCUACUUGGCUGUCGAUAUAUAGCAGGCUCCGCGGGGGUCUUUGCGCCGGAACUUUGUCGAAGACACAACAUCAGCCCGGAGCUUUGUCGAAGACACAACAUCAGCUUUGGCCUAGCUAAGGCAGACACCGCGUCCGGGCUAUAUAGCUUUAUAGCAAGCUCGGUAGGAUCGCUGCGCCGAAACUUGGUCGAGACGUAAUAGUCGGCGAGAUCCCAAGGUACAUCAGGGGACAGAAGGUGACUUGCACAACAAGAUUUUCUCUGACAGCCCCCACGCUUGGAUUGAGAAGUUGACAACAUAAUGACUAGCUACCAACCAAGCCUUAGGCACAUGGCUACGUCAGUCGCUGAGCUGCAGUUUGUCUAGUGACAUGACAGUUGACGAGUCCCGGCACACGCCGAAUUGCUAUACAAGGCCAACCUUAGUUUUUUAAAGUUAUGCAAUUUCAGCUAUUGUAAGCUUAUACACUCUCUCUCUACAUAUGCU